UGAGGAAUAUUGCGCAAUGGAGGAAACUCUGACGCAGCCACGCCGCGUGCAGGAAGAAGGUCCUAUGGAUCGUAAACUGCUUUUAUUCGGGACGAAUGGGAAGGUUUCGACCUUGAGUGACGGUACCGAUUGAAUAAGCACCGGCUAACUCCGUGCCAGCAGCCGCGGUAAUACGGAGGGUGCAAGCGUUGUCCGGAAUCAUUGGGUGUAAAGGGUGCGUAGGCGGGUUUUUAAGUCUGGGGUGAAAGUC
rnacentral:rRNA from 1 species